rnacentral:rRNA from 1 species
AUGAACCAACUGCAUGGCACACUGCCCUCCAAUUUGGGCAAUGGCCUGCCACACAUCCGAUACCUUAUCCUUGCUCUGAACCAUUUCACGGGAAGAAUUCCAGCUUCAAUUGCAAAUGCAACUACAAUCCAAUCCAUGGACCUCUCUGGUAACAACAUCACCGGAGUCGUGCCUCCAGAGAUUGGAACACUCUGCCCAAAAUACCUGAUGCUUAAUGGAAACCAGCUGGAGGCAACCACUGUUCAAGACUGGGGGUUCAUCACUUCCCUGACAAAUUGCACAAGCCUUCGUUGGGUCACAUUGCAAAACAACAAGUUUAGUGGUGGGUUUCCGCGCUCUCUCGCAAACCUAUCAGGGCAACUUGAAGCCCUAGACAUCAGAUACAAUGGGAUAUCGGGCAAGAUACAAAUUGGCAUUGGCAACUUUCCCAAACUAUUCAAGCUAGGGCUAUCUGGCAAUCAGUUAACAGGCCCCAUACCGGACAGCAUAGGAAGACUGAACAUGCUCCAGUUCUUGACACUAGAGAAUAAUCAACUCUCUGGGAAGAUGCCGCCCUCGCUCGGGAACUUAACACAAUUGCAGCACCUUUCAGUAGAUAACAAUAUGUUGGAGGGACCUCUUCCAAUGAACAUUGGAAAUUUACAACGACUUGUCAGCGCAACCUUUUCGAACAAUGCGCUUUCAGGUCCAUUACCAGGAGAGAUCUUUAGCCUGUCGUCCUUGUCAUACGUUCUGGACUUAUCGAGGAAUCAUUUUAGUAGUUCCCUUCCAUCCCAGGUUGGUGGUCUUACAGAGCUCACAUACUUGUACAUCCAUGAGAACAACUUGUCUGGGCUGCUGCCAGACGCUCUCAGCAAAUGCCAGAGCUUGAUGGAGCUCCGUUUGGAUAAUAACUACUUCAACGGUAUGAUUCCUUUGUCCGUAAGUAGAAUGCGAGGCUUGGCACUGCUGAAUUUGACCAAAAACAGGCUCACAGGAGGAAUCCCUCAAGAGUUAGGACUCAUGAGUGGCCUGAAAGAACUGUAUCUUGGACGGAACAAUUUGUCUGCACAGAUCCCAGACCUUGGAAGCAUGAUGUCACUCUACCGACUCGACAUAUCCUUCAACCUUAUUGAUGGGCAAGUCCCAGCACAUGGCGUGUUCAUCAAUUUGACUGGGUUCACGUUUUAUGGGAAUGGUAAGCUUUGUGGUGGCAUUCAAGAGUUGCAUUUGCCUUCAUGUCCAUCCAAAGCAAUUGGGGGCGGUCAGAGGAUACCCCGAGUCAUUCGAAAUGCAAUGAUCCCAAGCAUUAUAAUCAUCUUUGUGUGCUUUAUAGUGGGACUAGGUUUCUUCUCACUGAAAAAUAAAUUAAGACUGCCAUCUGUAAGAGCAACUUUGGUAGCUCCUUCCUUGAUGGGCGACAUGCAUCCUUGA